rnacentral:rRNA from 1 species
GACGAACGCUGGCGGCGUGCUUAACACAUGCAAGUCGAACGAAGAGCGGUGGAAGUUGGCUUCUUUAAAUCUUAGUCGCGAGGGGGAGUGUAACGCGUAAUCCACCUGUACUUGAGUGGGGACAACAGGGGGAAACGACUGCUAUUACGGCAAACAUACUAAACUCGGUAGUUCGGAUAUAAGAAAGGGGGCUUCUACAUGUAAGCGAUCACUGAGGGCGGCGAUUGCGGCUGGUUAGGUAGAUGGCGUGGUAAGGGCACAACCAGGCGAUGAUCGGUAGGCGGUCUGAGAGGAUGGACGGCCACAUUGGGACUGGGACACGGCCCAGACUCCUACGGGAGGCAGCAGUGGGGAAUCUUUCGGAAUAGACGGAAGUCUGACGGAGCAACGCCGCGGGAGGGGUGACGGCCUUCGGGUUGUAAAGCUCUGUUUAUCGGGGCGAAAGGACUUCUUACAUAUAUAGAGACGGAUUGACGGUACCGGAAUAGAAAGCCACGGCUAACUACGUG